rnacentral:rRNA from 1 species
CUACGGGCUGCAGCAGUGAGGAUUAUUGCACAAUGGGGGGAACCCUGAUGCAGCAACGCCGCGUGGAGGAUGACGCAUUUCGGUGUGUAAACUCCUUUUAUAUGUCAAGAAAAUGACGUUAGCAUAUGAAUAAGCACCGGCUAACUCCGUGCCAGCAGCCGCGGUAAUACGGAGGGUGCAAGCGUUACUCGGAAUCACUGGGCGUAAAGGACGCGUAGGCGGGUUGGAAAGUCAGGUGUGAAAUCCUACAGCUUAACUGUAGAACUGCACUUGAAACUUCUAAUCUAGAGUAUGGGAGGGGGAGAUGGAAUUAGUGGUGUAGGGGUAAAAUCCGUAGAUAUCACUAGGAAUACCUAAAGCGAAGGCGAUCUCCUGGAACAUUACUGACGCUAAGGCGUGAAAGCGUGGGGAGCAAACAGGAUUAGAUACCCCUGUAGUC